rnacentral:rRNA from 1 species
GCUGGCGGCACGCCUAACACAUGCAAGUCGAACGAAGUAGCAAUACUUAGUGGCAGACGGGUGAGUAACAUGUAGGUAUCUGCCCUUUGGCCUGGAAUAACACGAGGAAACUUGUGCUAAUACCGGAUAAGUCUUUACGGAGAAAGCUUUAUGCACCAUUGGAUGAGCCUGCACUUGAUUAGUUUGUUGGUGGGGUAAUGGCCCACCAAGACUUUGAUCAAUAGCUGAUUUGAGAGGAUGAUCAGCCACAUUGGGACUGAGACACGGCCCAAACUCCUACGGGAGGCAGCAGUGGGGAAUCUUGCACAAUGGAGGAAACUCUGAUGCAGCGAUGCCGCGUGAGUGAAGAAGGCCUUUGGGUUGUAAAGCUCUUUCGUCGGGGAAGAAAAUGACUGUACCCGAAUAAGAAGGUCCGGCUAACUUCGUGCCAGCAGCCGCGGUAAUACGAAGGGACCUAGCGUAGUUCGGAAUUACUGGGCUUAAAGAGUUCGUAGGUGGUUGAAAAAGUUAGUGGUGAAAUCCCAGAGCUUAACUCUGGAACUGCCAUUAAAACUUUUCAGCUAGAGUAUGAUAGAGGAAAGCAGAAUUUCUAGUGUAGAGGUGAAAUUCGUAGAUAUUAGAAAGAAUACCAAUUGCGAAGGCAGCUUUCUGGAUCAUUACUGACACUGAGGAACGAAAGCAUGGGUAGCGAAGAGGAUUAGAUACCCUCGUAGUCCAUGCCGUAAACGAUGUGUGUUAGACGUUGGAAAUUUAUUUUCAGUGUCGCAGCGAAAGCGAUAAACACAC